GGGUUGUGAGGUUAAGCGAAUAAGCGUACACGGUGGAUGCCUAGGCAAUCAGAGGCGAUGAAGGACGUGCUAAUCUGCGAUAAGCGUCGGUAAGGUGAUAUGAACCGUUAUACCCGACGAUUUCCGAAUGGGGAAACCCAAUAUCCAAUGGAUAUUAUCAUGACGUGAAUACAUAGCGUCAUGAAGCGAACCGGGAGAACUGAAACAUCUCAGUACCCCGAGGAAAAGAAAUCAACCGAGAUUCCCCUAGUAGCGGCGAGCGAACGGGGAACAGCCCAGAGUCUUAAUCAAUAGCAGCAUCAGGAGAACGGUCUGGAAAGUCCGGCAGUAAAGGGUGAUAGCCCCGUAUCUGAAGAUGCUGUUAUUGUGAACUCGACGAGUAGGGCGGGACACGUGUUAUCCUGUCUGAAUAUGGGGAGACUCAUCCUCCAAGGCUAAAUACUCCUGAUUGACCGAUAGUGAACCAGUACCGUGAGGGAAAGGCGAAAAGAACCCCGGCGAGGGGAGUGAAAAAGAACCUGAAACCGUGUACGUACAAGCAGUAGGAGCCUCUUUAUGGGGUGACUGCGUACCUUUUGUAUAAUGGGUCAGCGACUUAUAUUCUGUAGCAAGGUUAACCGUAUAGGGGAGCCGUAGGGAAACCGAGUCUUAACUGGGCGAAUGAGUUGCAGGGUAUAGACCCGAAACCCGGUGAUCUAUCCAUGGGCAGGUUGAAGGUUGGGUAACACUAACUGGAGGAACCGAACCGACUAAUGUUGAAAAAUUAGCGGAUGACUUGUGGAUGGGGGUGAAAGGCCAAUCAAACCGGGAGAUAGCUGGUUCUCCCCGAAAGCUAUUUAGGUAGCGCCUCGUGAAUUCAUCUUCGGGGGUAGAGCACUGUUUCGACUAGGGGGUCAUCCCGACUUACCAACUCGAUGCAAACUGCGAAUACCGAAGAAUGUUAUCACGGGAGACACACGGCGGGUGCUAACGUCCGUCGUGAAGAGGGAAACAACCCAGACCGCCAGCUAAGGUCCCAAAGUCAUGGUUAAGUGGGAAACGAAGUGGGAAGGCUCAGACAGCCAGGAUGUUGGCUUAGAAGCAGCCAUCAUUUAAAGAAAGCGUAAUAGCUCACUGGUCGAGUCGGCGCGCGGAAGAUGUAACGGGGCUAAACCAUGCACCGAAGCUGCGGCAGCGACACUAUGUGUUGUUGGGUAGGGGAGCGUUCUGUAAGCCUGCGAAGGUGUACUGUGAGGUAUGCUGGAGGUAUCAGAAGUGCGAAUGCUGACAUAAGUAACGAUAAUGCGGGUGAAAAACCCGCACGCCGGAAGACCAAGGGUUCCUGUCCAACGUUAAUCGGGGCAGGGUGAGUCGACCCCUAAGGCGAGGCUGAAAAGCGUAGUCGAUGGGAAACGGGUUAAUAUUCCCGUACUGGUGGUAACUGCGAUGGGGGAACGGAGAAGGCUAGGUUGUCCGGGCGACGGUCGUCCCGGUUCAAGCAUGUAGGCAGAGUGAUUAGGCAAAUCCGGUCACUUAAUGCUGAGGUGUGAUGACGAGCCACUAAGGUGGUGAAGCAAUUGAUGCCCUGCUUCCAGGAAAAGCCUCUAAGCUUCAGGUUACCAACAAUCGUACCCCAAACCGACACAGGUGGUCAGGUAGAGAAUACUCAGGCGCUUGAGAGAACUCGGGUGAAGGAACUAGGCAAAAUGGUGCCGUAACUUCGGGAGAAGGCACGCUGGCGGUAAGUGAAGUCCCUUGCGGACGGAGCCGAAGCCAGUCGAAGAUACCAGCUGGCUGCAACUGUUUAUUAAAAACACAGCACUGUGCAAACACGAAAGUGGACGUAUACGGUGUGACGCCUGCCCGGUGCUGGAAGGUUAAUUGAUGGGGUUAUCCUUAGGGAGAAGCUCUUGAUCGAAGCCCCAGUAAACGGCGGCCGUAACUAUAACGUCCCUAAGGUAGCGAAAUUCCUUGUCGGGUAAGUUCCGACCUGCACGAAUGGCGUAAUGAUGGCCAGGCUGUCUCCACCCGAGACUCAGUGAAAUUGAACUCGCUGUGAAGAUGCAGUGUACCCGCGGCAAGACGGAAAGACCCCGUGAACCUUUACUAUAGCUUGACACUGAACAUUGAGCCUUGAUGUGUAGGAUAGGUGGGAGACUUAGAAGUGUGGACGCCAGUCUGCAUGGAGUCAACCUUGAAAUACCACCCUUUAACGUUUGAUGUUCUAACCUAGGCUAUAAUCUGGGUCGGGGAUCGUGUCUGGUGGGUAGUUUGACUGGGGCGGUCUCCUCCUAAAGAGUAACGGAGGAGCACGAAGGUUGGCUAAGCAUGGUCGGACAUCAUGCGGUUAGUGCAAAGGCAUAAGCCAGCUUGACUGUGAGAGUGACGGCUCGAGCAGGUACGAAAGUAGGUCUUAGUGAUCCGGUGGUUCUGAAUGGAAGGCCAUCGCUCAACGGAUAAAAGGUACUCCGGGGAUAACAGGCUGAUACCGCCCAAGAGUUCAUAUCGACGGCGGUGUUUGGCACCUCGAUGUCGGCUCAUCACAUCCUGGGGCUGAAGUAGGUCCCAAGGGUAUGGCUGUUCGCCAUUUAAAGUGGUACGCGAGCUGGGUUUAGAACGUCGUGAGACAGUUCGAUCCCUAUCUGCCGUGGGCGUUGGAAGAUUGAGAGGGGUUGCUCCUAGUACGAGAGUGACCGGAGUGAACGCACCACUGGUGUUCGGGUUGUCAUGCCAAUGGCAUUGCCCGGUAGCUAAGUGCGGAAGAGAUAACCGCUGAAAGCAUCUAAGCGGGAAACUUGCCUCGAGAUGAGUCUUCCCUGUCACCUAGAGUGACCUAAAGGAACGUUUAAGACUAAGACGUUGAUAGGCUGGGUGUGUAAGCGUAGCGAUACGUUGAGCUAACCAGUACUAAUGAACCGUGAGGCUUAACCUGACAACACCGAAGGUGUUU
rnacentral:rRNA from 1 species